CCUACGGGAGGCAGCAGUGGGGAAUAUUGCACAAUGGGGGAAACCCUGAUGCCGCGACGCCGCGUGAGUGAAGAAGUCUUUCGGUAUGUAAAGCUCUAUCAGCAGGGAAGAUGAUGACGGUACCUAACUAAGAAGCCCCUGCUAACUACGUGCCAGCAGCCGCGGUAAUACGUAGGGGGCAAGCGUUAUCCGGAUUGACGGGGUGUAACGGGUGCGUAGGUGGCAGGGCAAGUCAGAUGUGAAAGCCCGGGGCUCAACCUCGGGACUGCAUUUGAAACUGUCCAGCUGGAGUGCAGGAGAGGUAAGCAGAAUUCCUGGUGUAGCGGUGAAAUGCGUAGAGAUUAGGAGGAACACCAGUGGCGAAGGCGGCUUCCUGGACUGUAACUGACACUGAGGUACGAAAGCGUGGGGAGCAAACAGGAUUAGAUACCCGAGUAGUC
rnacentral:rRNA from 1 species